rnacentral:rRNA from 1 species
AUUGAACGCUGGCGGAAUGCUUUACACAUGCAAGUCGAGCGGCAGCGCGGGGCAACCUGGCGGCGAGCGGCGAACGGGUGAGUAACAUAUCGGAACGUACCCAGUCGUGGGGGAUAACUAUCCGAAAGGAUAGCUAAUACCGCAUACGACCUGAGGGUGAAAGCGGGGGACCGAAAGGCCUCGCGCGAUUGGAGCGGCCGAUAUCGGAUUAGCUAGUUGGUGAGGUAAAGGCUCACCAAGGCGACGAUCCGUAGCUGGUCUGAGAGGACGACCAGCCACACUGGAACUGAGACACGGUCCAGACUCCUACGGGAGGCAGCAGUGGGGAAUUUUGGACAAUGGGGGCAACCCUGAUCCAGCCAUUCCGCGUGAGUGAAGAAGGCCUUCGGGUUGUAAAGCUCUUUCGGCAGGAACGAAACGGUGGUCCCGUAAUACGGGCUACUAAUGACGGUACCUGAAGAAGAAG